rnacentral:tRNA from 1 species
UGGGGAUGUAGCUCAGUUGGGAGAGCACCUGCCUUGCAAGCAGGGGGUCGAGAGUUCGAAUCUCUUCAUCUCCAU